rnacentral:lncRNA from 1 species
CUAAUUUUGAUUACAAGAAAUCAAGUAAACAAACCUCCAUCUCUCUCUCUCUCUCUCUCUCUCUCUCUCUAUAUAUAUAUAUAUAUGUAUGUAUGUAUGUGUGUACAUAUAUAUAUGUAUGUAUGUAUGUGUGUACAUAUAUAUAUGUAUGUAUAUUAACUGGAACCUAAAGCAGCAAACCCGCCACCUUUCAUCAUCUGCUUAAACUCCUUGAAGUUAACCAUGCCAUCUCCGUCAACAUCCACC